rnacentral:rRNA from 1 species
GACGAACGCUGGCGGCGUGCCUAAUACAUGCAAGUUGAGCGCUGAAGGUUGGUACUUGUACCAACUGGAUGAGCAGCGAACGGGUGAGUAACGCGUGGGGAAUCUGCCUUUGAGCGGGGGACAACAUUUGGAAACGAAUGCUAUUACCGCAUAAAAACUUUAAACACAGGUUUUACGUUUGAAAGAUGCAAUUGCUUCACUCACAGAUGAUCCCGCGUUGUAUUAGCUAGUUGGUGAGGUAAAGGCUCACCAAGGCGAUGAUACAUAGCCGACCUGAGAGGGUGAUCGGCCACAUUGGGACUGAGACACGGCCCAAACUCAUACGGGAGGCAGCAGUAGGGAAGCUUCGGCAAUGGACGAAAGUCUGACCGAGCAACGCCGCGUGAGUGAAGAAGGUGUUCGGAUCGUAAAACUCUGUUGGUAGAGAAGAACGUUGGUGAGAGUGGAAAGCUCAUCAAGUGACGGUAACUACCCAGAAAGGGACGGCUAACUACGUG